rnacentral:rRNA from 1 species
UUCCGGUUGAUCCUGCCAGACCUGACUGCUAUCGGAUUGAUACUAAGCCAUGCGAGCCUUUGUAGUAAUACAAGGCAGACGGCUCAGCAACACGUAGUCAACCUACCCUAUGGACGAGAAUAAUCUCGGGAAACUGAGCAUAAUUCUUGAUAGAUCAUAAUGCCUGGAAUGGUUUAUGGUUAAAAUGAUUCGUCGCCAUAGGAUGGGACUGCGGCCUAUCAGCUUGUUGGUGAGGUAAUGGCCCACCAAGGCGAUUACAGGUACGGGCUCUGAGAGGAGAAGCCCGGAGAUGGGUACUGAGACACGGACCCAGGCCCUAUGGGGCGCAGCAGGCGAGAAAACUUUGCAAUGUGCGAAAGCACGACAAGGUUAAUCCGAGUGAUUUCUGCUAAAGAAAUCUUUUGCCAGUCGUAAAACCGCUGGUGAAUAAGGGGUGGGCAAGUUCUGGUGCCAGCAGCCGCGGUAAUA